rnacentral:rRNA from 1 species
GACGAACGCUGGCGGCGUGCUUAACACAUGCAAGUCGAACGGAAAGGCCCUGCUUUUGUGGGGUGCUCGAGUGGCGAACGGGUGAGUAACACGUGAGUAACCUGCCCUUGACUUUGGGAUAACUUCAGGAAACUGGGGCUAAUACCGGAUAGGAGCUCCUGCUGCAUGGUGGGGGUUGGAAAGUUUCGGCGGUUGGGGAUGGACUCGCGGCUUAUCAGCUUGUUGGUGGGGUAGUGGCUUACCAAGGCUUUGACGGGUAGCCGGCAUGAGAGGGGGACCGGGCACAUGGGGACUGAGAUACGGCCCAGACUCGUACGGGGGGCAGCGGUGGGGAAUAUUGCACAAUGGGCGGAAGCGUGAUGCAGAAACGCCGCGGGCGGGAUGAAGGCCCUCGGGUUGUAAACCGCUUUCGGCUGUGACGAAGCGUGAGUGACGGUAAUGGGUAAAGAAGCACCGGCUAACUACGUG